rnacentral:lncRNA from 10 species
AAAAAGGCAGCCUGUAGGGGAUCACUGGUCAAUGCCACUUGACGGUAGAAUUUCCCACAGCCUGGAUUUCACCCAGUGCAGUUCCAUAUGCCCUCUGUAAUUCCUGCAAAUGACUCUUUUUAAUGGUCACACCGUGAUUUGUAACCAGUGCCUUACAAUUGCCCAGCUUACAGUUCUGAAUCGCUAGAAUAGUUACCACUAAGAUGAACAUCCUUGUGUAUAUUUUUUGUAUGUUUGUGGACGCCUUGUUCUCAUGGGGCCCAUCGCCCUCCCCUUCCCUGAUCCCCCUGGGUUGGGAACACCGCUGUCUCCCCUUCAGGUCAGCCUGCCCAGCACUUUAAAGCUAGGUCAGCAUCCUCAGCUGCCUCGCAGCCAGGGCCGCUGCCUGCCAAGUCACUCCAUUUCCUCACACUCUGUGUCCCACCCCCAUCUGAGUCUGACACACUCUUGCCCCCUGGAGACUUCUUCCCGUGUGGGCCAGCUUCUAGUCCUUCCUUCCCCACACACCGUAUUUCUGAGGUCCCAGACUGCUUUGGGCAUGAAUCUACCCAAAAUACAACAUGUAUGUUUUUGUUAGUAUGUGGUUGAGGUAUUUACAUAUUUAAAAAAACACAAUGCAACCAAUGCUAUUUCUGGCACACACCAGAUCUGCUUAACCCACCUCUAAUUUCGACUGCAGCUGGGGCGGACAUUUAGGGUUUUUCCAAGGCAGCUGGAAAGUCCGGAGAGUUGACUGUCUUGGGGUCAACUUUCAGCCAACAAAGGUGUUGGGAGGUUGUUGGGGAACCAGUGGACAAAUGUCUCUCUCUGUCAGCCGUCCUUUAGAGACCGUGGAGACCAAGGGAAGAUUUCCCCUUCCCGCCUUGAAGGUUCACUGAAAAAUCAAUUCAGAAAGUCAGAUUAAUUGGAGAAAAGGCACACAAAUAUUAUUCACAGGUACAUGGAGGCUUCAGAAUGAAGACCCAAGUCUACAGGGGAAAUUGUCCAUUUUUAAGUUUAAAUUCAACCAAGUAUGGACAGUCAUGUGGAAAUACGAGUGGACAAAAAGGGAAUGAUCUAAUGCUAACAGAUGGAGUGGGGAAAGCCAGCAGGGCCUGUCUGUCUAGAUUCUUCUUGCCCUUUCUGAACAGCGCUCCUUCCUUCUGAGUAUGGGACAGGACCUCCUCUGGAAUGGGGAUCUUAUGACCUACAAGCCAAACAAAAAUAAAAUCAAAUGAGGACCUGGAGGGCCUUUGAUCACAGAGUUGGAGACAGUCCCCCAGGGGAUGGCAGAUGAAGAUGAAGGAACUACAGUCCCAGAAUGUUUUCAGUGAGAAAUGCCUCCUCAGCUUGGGGCUUCUUAGCUUUAGAUUCUUAUGUGAAAAAGAAAGAAAUGUCCAGCUUGCUUGAGUAACUGUGUUUUCUGAUCUUUUUGCUAUGGCAGUUUAGCCUGUAUCCUAACUGAUGUCGUUGGUAUGGACAUGAUAAUCCAGGCUGUCUGCUACAUUGGAGAGAGGGUAAAUGGGUACACUAUCUCUCAAACACAAUCGAACAUGAUAUAUCAGGAGCUUUAAAAGUUUAGAUCCUG